CAUAGUCAAUCACCAGUAUAAUUAAUAAUCCAAGACAAGAAGAAUCUUUCAAGUGUUGCUAACCAGAACUGAGCAGAUCCAAGUAGCAAUCGUAGCCAAGCCAUUAGUCCAUGUAUGGAGAGACCAGAGAGGGCAUCCCCACGUGGUGAUGCCUCAAGCUUCAGGAGCACUCGACCAGAGUCAGUGUAGCCCUUGGCAGCUGGUGAAGCACAACCUGGGACAAAUGGAAGCUUUAGCAAUGAGCCGAUAGGUCAAGGCUAACCAGAAAGAAUGCAGCUGGGUAAUGCAAGCUAUCCUAUCUUGUAAUUAAAAGGGUUUUCUGUGUGGUUACCUGACGUAGUUACUAAAUGGCUUGCAUGAAAUAACAUGCAGCAUUCUGCAGUUACUGUGCAAUUACCUUAUAUCAUCACCCUACAGUCAAAAGACAAAAAGAAAAUUCAGGGUGAAGCUUUUAACCGCAAUUUGUAGCAAAGAUGUUUGGAAUAAAAACACAUUGCUUGUUA
rnacentral:lncRNA from 1 species